rnacentral:rRNA from 1 species
GAUGAACGCUGGCGGCGUGCCUAAUACAUCCAAGUCGAGCGAACAGAUGCGGAGCUUGCUCCUCAGACGUUAGCGGCGGACGGGUGAGUAACACGUGGAUAACCUACCUAUAAGACUGGGAUAACUUCGGGAAACCGGAGCUAAUACCGGAUAAUCUAUUGAACCGCAUGGUUCAAUAGUGAAAGACGGCUUUGCUGUCACUUAUAGAUGGAUCCGCGCCGCAUUAGCUAGUUGGGAAGGUAACGGCUUACCAAGGCGACGAUGCGUAGCCGACCUGAGAGGGUGAUCGGCCACACAGGAAGUGAGGCACGGUACAGAGUCAUACGGGAGGGAGCAGUAGGGAAUCUGGCGCAGUGGGCGAAAGCCUGACGGAGCAACGCCGCGUGAGAGAUGAAGGUCAUAGGUUCGGAAAACUCUGUUAUUAGAGAAGAACAAAUGUGUAAGUAACUAGGCACGUCGUGACGGUACCUAAUCAGAAAGCCACGGCUAACUACGUG